AGCCUGCCCUGCCAGUUCUUCGGCAACUUAUCUAUCUAAAUGAUGAAGAAGUUCUCACAGAUGCCUGCUGGGCUCUAUCUUACCUUUCAGAUGGCCCCAAUGAUAAGAUCCAAGCUGUGAUCCAGGCUGGUGUUUGUCCACUACUUGUGGAGCUUCUGAGUCAUCCAUCACCUACGGUUCUCAUUCCUGCGCUUCGAACUGUUGGGAACAUUGUAACUGGUGAUGACUCUCAGACACUGUUUAUAAUUGAUAG